rnacentral:tRNA from 1 species
GUGUGUGGUGUGGUGGUUUGAACAUUGGACUAUGACUCUGGAGAACAGGGUUCAAAUCCCAGCUCAGACA